rnacentral:rRNA from 1 species
UACGUAGGGUGCGAGCGUUGUCCGGAUUUACUGGGCGUAAAGAGCUCGUAGGUGGUUUGUCGCGUCGUCUGUGAAAUCCCGGGGCUCAACUCCGGGCGUGCAGGCGAUACGGGCAUAACUUGAGUGCUGUAGGGGAGACUGGAAUUCCUGGUGUAGCGGUGAAAUGCGCAGAUAUCAGGAGGAACACCAAUGGCGAAGGCAGGUCUCUGGGCAGUAACUGACGCUGAGGAGCGAAAGCAUGGGUAGCGAACAGGAUUAGAUACCCUGGUAGUCCAUGCCGUAAACGGUGGGCGCUAGGUGUAGGGGACUUCCACGUCUUCUGUGCCGCAGCUAACGCAUUAAGCGCCCCGCCUGGGGAGUACGGCCGCAAGGCUAAA